rnacentral:rRNA from 1 species
GUAUAAGAGACAGCAGUAGCCGCGGUAAUACGUAGGGUGCAAGCGUUAAUCGGAAUUACUGGGCGUAAAGCGUGCGCAGGCGGUUUGUUAAGACAGAUGUGAAAUCCCCGGGCUCAACCUGGGAACUGCAUUUGUGACUGGCAAGCUAGAGUCUGGCAGAGGGGGGUGGAAUUCCGCGUGUAGCAGUGAAAUGCGUAGAUAUGCGGAGGAACACCGAUGGCGAAGGCAGCCCCCUGGGCCAACACUGACGCUCAUGCACGAAAGCGUGGGGAGCAAACAGGAUUAGAUACCCCAGUAGUCCCUGUCUCUUAUAC